GAUGAACGCUGGCGGCGUGUCUAAUACAUGCAAGUCGAGCGAACAGACGAGGAGCUUGCUCCUCUGACGUUAGCGGCGGACGGGUGAGUAACACGUGGAUAACCUACCUAUAAGACUGGGAUAACUUCGGGAAACCGGAGCCAAUACCGGAUAAUAUAUUGAACCGCAUGGUUCAAUAGUGAAAGACGGCUUUGCUGUCACUUAUAGAUGGAUCCGCGCCGCAUUAGCUAGUUGGUAAGGUAACGGCUUACCAAGGCGACGAUGCGUAGCCGACCUGAGAGGGUGAUCGGCCACACUGGAACUGAGACACGGUCCAGACUCCUACGAGAGGCAGCAGUAGGGAAUCUUCCGCAGUAGGCGGAAGCCUGACGGAGCAACGCCGCGUGAGUGAUGGAGGUCUUCGGAUCGUAAAACUCUGUUAUUAGGGAAGAACAAAUGUGUAAGUAACUAUGCACGUCUUGACGGUACCUAAUCAGAAAGCCCCGGCUAACUACGUG
rnacentral:rRNA from 1 species